GUUUUGACUGCAUUUUUUUUAUUAUUUCCAUACGUCCUAACCUGGGACAAUGGUGUAACAAUACAACAUAAGAAUAAACUAUGAAAAUUAGUUGAAAAAGGCUUAACUCAUUAGAUGGAUACAAAUAGAAAUAAGUCUAACUUUACAUAUAUGUUUGACUUAUAACAUAUCAAAACACAUAUCCAAAUAUGACAAAUGCCGUUUAAAAGGGGGAAUCCAAAAACAAUCGUCCCAUCAGGUUGACUGCAGUCUCAUCAUGAAAUUUAAUUCCAAUUGGCAGUAUUAAUAAUAACUUUCAAAAACAUGAAAUAACUAAUACAAAAAAAACAUUCAUUUCGUCACUUAUAAAUCCUAGACGAAGCGCGCGUCUGGCGUAUUAAACUAUAAGCCUGGUACCUUUCAUAACCAUUUACACCCCUGGGUCGAUGAAACUGCUGGUGGACGUUUGGUGCCCGCGGGUAUCACCAGCCCCGUAGUCAGCACUUCGGUGUUGACAUGAAUAUCAAUUAUCAUAGUAUCUACUUAAAGUGUUAACUUCUCGUUAAAUUUCUAAAGUUUUCAUGCAAGUUUUGCCAUGAUGUACAUAAUAUUGCCAAUCGAGAAACAAAAUGAUGAAUGAUGUUUUCACAUGUC
rnacentral:lncRNA from 1 species